rnacentral:rRNA from 1 species
CGGCGGGCCUAACACAUGCAAGUCGAGCGAGAAAGUGGCUUCGGCCAUCAGUAAAGCGGCGGACGGGUGAGUAACACGUAGGUAAUCUUCCCUUGAGCGGGGGACAACGUUUCGAAAGGAACGCUAAUACCGCAUAAGUUUCCAGGGACCCCGGUCCUUGGAAGGAAAGCUAGGUCGCAAGAUCCGGCACUCGAGGAGGAGCCUGCGUCGCAUCAGCUAGUUGGUGAGGUAACGGCUCACCAAGGCAACGACGGGUAGCUGGUCUGAGAGGAUGGCCAGCCACAUUGGGACUGAGACACGGCCCAGACUCCUACGGGAGGCAGCAGUGGGGAAUACUGCGCAAUGGACGAAAGUCUGACGCAGCGACGCCGCGUGUGGGAUGACGGUCUUCGGAUUGUAAACCACUGUCGGGAGGGACGAAUACGCCGCAAGGCGGGUGACGGUACCUCCAAAGGAAGCACCGGCUAACUCCGUGCCAGCAGCCGCGGUAAUACGGAGGGUGCGAGCGUUGUCCGGAAUCACUGGGCGUAAAGGGCGCGUAGGCGGCCUGAUAAGUAGGGGGUGAAAUCCUGCGGCUUAACCGCAGGGCUGCCUUCUAAACUGUCGGGCUCGAGCACAGUAGAGGCAGGUGGAAUUCCCGGUGUAGCGGUGGAAUGCGUAGAGAUCGGGAAGAACAUCAGUGGCGAAGGCGGCCUGCUGGGCUGUUGCUGACGCUGAGGCGCGACAGCGUGGGGAGCAAA